UGGGGAAUAUUGGACAAUGGGGGAAACCCUGAUCCAGCGACGCCGCGUGUGUGAAGAAGGCCUGCGGGUUGUAAAGCACUUUUAGUGGGGACAAAAAGCUACGGACUAAUACUCUGUGGUCUUGAUUUAACCCAAAGAAAAAGCACCGGCUAACUCUGUGCCAGCAGCCGCGGUAAUACAGAGGGUGCGAGCGUUAAUCGGAAUUACUGGGCGUAAAGCGUGCGUAGACGGUUAUGUAAGUCAGGUGUGAAAGCCCCGGGCUCAACCUGGGAAUGCCAUUUGAGACUGCAUAGCUAGGGUGCGGAAGAGGGAAGCGGAAUUUCAGGUGUAGCGGUGAAAUGCGUAGAUAUCUGAAGGAACACCAGUGGCGAAAGCGGCUUCCUGGUCCAGCACCGACGUUCAGGCACGAAAGCGUGGGGAGCAAACAGGAUUAGAUACCCGGGUAGUCC
rnacentral:rRNA from 1 species